UUUUUGAACUGUGAAGUACAGUUGUUGUAAGAUUCCUUUGGUUGGUCAUUUCUGUCCAUAAAUAUUGAAAGUCUGCUUACUUUUUUCGGAGUUGUCAUAGAUCUUAAAUUUAUUUGACAUGAUGAACCAGCAAUGUAUUGUCUUUCAUUGUCUCACUGAUAUACUACUGUGGCACUGUGAACUAGUUCCAUAAAUGGUUUCAUAAAUCAGUCACUGCUAGUUUUGUUGGUGCAAUCAACUUCUAGGAUUUCAAUGUUUAACAAUCUACGUGUGUCUAGUCAAGUUUGACCGAGGAAUAAUCUAAACAAGACCAGAUGUUCAGAAGUGACUUAAGUGAGAAGUCUAGUGACUAGUAAGGGAAAGCCCAGGUCAAGGAUGACAGAAUGUCUGACAAAUGACAAGUCCAAGCAGAUCAAGGUGGCCGGAUGCUUGGUAAGGAAAAGUCCAGGUAGGUAAGGAUGACCGAAUGUCUGGCAAGUAAUAAGUCUAAGUAGGUCAAGAUGACUAAAUGCUUGGCAAAGGGAAAAUCCUAAGGGAGUGAACCUUAGGUGAUGAGAAGUCUGAGAGAAAUGAAUUCCAAGUAAGAGAUAAGCUUAGUAGGUCAGGUAGGCUUAUAGGAUGAGAUUUAAGUAAGCCUAGUAGGUCGGGUAGAUUUACAUGUUUGUGUUUUGUAUAACUGUUUUGCAGAAACCUGGAGCUAGAAGCAAAACAACGAACAAACAAACGCAAUCGGGUUGAACCGGACCCAAACCAAUUCGGUUGAUCGAUCCACCGUUUUGGUAGACCAAUUGGGUUCAGUUGACCGAUUUGGGACUGAACUUGGGUUGGUGAUGUGGCCUGGUUCAGUUGAUCGGAAAAAUUUCCAGUUGACCGAUGACAACGAUGAGAUCACAUGGUUUGGUCCAGAUUGUGAUGAACUUGAUUGUGGAGAUUAGGUUUGACCAAGUCUAGUCGACUGAAUGAGGCUUAUCAGUCUACCAAUAAAGGCCUAUAAAAGAACUUCAAGGACUUCCAGACCAAAUUGGCAAAAUCUGUUUGUAUCUAUUUAAUAUAUGCUUUACUUUCCUGUUUGUGAUUGUGAUACAAACAUUGUAAGAGGUUUAUCCAUCUCCGGAAAAGUUCCGGCCUUCGCCUUGGCCUAGGGCUUAGGAACCAAGUAAACCUCAUUGUCUUUCUGUUUGUUAUUGUUUAAUUCCACUGUAAGUAUUUGCCUUAUAGAUACAAACUCAUGACGAGAUGAUCGAUUAUGACCUUGUCUACUUGUAGUCACGAAGGAAAACUAUGUACCUUUGAUUGUUUAUAUUUUGUGGAUUUUAGAUUUAUAACUGGGUAACUCAUGUUCUCAUAUCACAAAAAUUAUGUCCUCUGAAGUUCUUCUAGGAUGGUCCUUCUAAAAGGAGCUGACAAGCAUGGUUUUGUGUGGUAUACCAAUUAUGGGAGCUGAAACGCCCAUGAAUUAUCUGAAAAUCCUCGUGCUUCACUUCUUUUCUAUUGGAAUCAGCUUAACCAUCAGGGUCAGCCUUCUCGAUUCAUGAUCAGUAGGUUCGUCUUCAAAUAGGGACGGACCUUAAAAUAUUUUCGCAAAUGUGAUUGCUUUGAAGUUUUCUUGGCCUUUUGUUGUAUUUUACAGGCUUCAGUAUUGGCUUGGGACAGUAAACGGAAAUGAAGUGUGGCAUAUUGAAAGGUUAUUCUCCAUGACUAGAGGUUGUUCGAUUGCCCUCCCUCUAAUAUCAAAAGAAUCAGUCUGUUGUGUCAAGAAAAAGAAAGAUCACCGACCAUAAUUCAGUGUUGAUCAAAUAGGACAUAAUUCCAUCACGUAGAGAUGGUAAACGAAACUGCCCCUUAAAAAAUGUGGUCCUGUUUAUCAAAUGGCUUAUACUUGUUUCUACUAAUUACAUUGCGUUGCCAAUGAUGUAAGAUACCAUCAAUUUGCCAGUGAUUCUGCUUUUAUGGGCACGAAUUCUCUAAUGCGAGAUUUGUUUGUUAA